rnacentral:rRNA from 1 species
GAAGUGGGUGGGGUCCCCAGGCCUGGGACCCUGCUUAAGAUAUAGUCGGGCCACCUGGGAGACCAGGUGGGAAGUACACCGCUACGAACCGUUCCGUAGGUGAACCUGCGGAAGGAUCAUUA